CAAGUCGAGUGCGCGGUGCCGUAGCAAUACGGUACUGGCGCACGGCGCACGGGUGCGUAACACGUGGGUAAUCUGCCCUCUGAUGGGGAAUAACUCGCCGAAAGGCGAGCUAAUACCGCAUAACAUUCCUUGGAUUCCGGUCCGAGGAUUCAAAGGCGUAAGUCGUCGGAGGUGGAGCCCGCGCACGAUUAGCUAGUUGGUAGGGUAAUGGCCUACCAAGGCUAUGAUCGUUAGCUGGUCUGAGAGGAUGGCCAGCCACACUGGAACUGAGACACGGUCCAGACUCCUACGGGAGGCAGCAGUGGGGAAUCUUGCACAAUGGGCGAAAGCCUGAUGCCGCGACGCCGCGUGGGGGAUGAAGCUUCUCGGAGUGUAAACCCCUUUCGACCGGGACGAAUACCUCGCAAGAGGGGUGACGGUACCGGUAUAAGAAGCCCCGGCUAACUACGUGCCAGCAGCCGCGGUAAGACGUAGGGGGCCAGCGUUGCUCGGAAUUACUGGGUGUAAAGGGUUCGUAGGCGGUGUGGCAAGUCGGGAGUGAAAUCUCUGAGCUUAACUCAGGGGCUGCUUCCGAAACUGCUGUGCUAGAGUGUGGGAGAGGCGCGUGGAAUUGCAGGUGUAGCGGUGAAAUGCGUAGAUAUCUGCAGGAACACCCGUGGCGAAAGCGGCGCGCUGGACCACUACUGACGCUGAGGAACGAAAGCUAGGGGAGCAAACAGGAUUAGAUACCCUGGUAGUCCUAGCCCUAAACGAUCAGGACUUGGGGUGCCACCCGUUCGGGUGUCGUCCCGGAGCUAACGCGUUAAGUCCUGCACCUGGGGAGUACGGUCGCAAGACUGAAACUCAAAGGAAUUGAC
rnacentral:rRNA from 1 species